rnacentral:rRNA from 1 species
AUUGGGACUGAGAACGGCCCAAACUCCUACGGGAGGCAGCAGUAGAGAAUCUUCGGCAAUGGGGGAAACCCUGACCGAGCGAUACCGCGUGAAUGAAGAAGUAUUUCGGUAUGUAAAAUUCUUUUAUUAGGGAAGAACGGUACUGGUAGGAAAUGACUAGUAAGUGACGUUACCUAAUGAAUAAGCCCCGGCUAACUAUGUGCCAGCAGCCGCGGUAAUACAUAGGGGGCAAGCGUUAUCCGGAUUAAUUGGGCGUAAAGGGUGCGUAGGCGGUCUUUUAAGUUUGAGGUUUAAAUUCAUGGCUCAACCAUGUAUCGCUUCAAAAACUGAGAGACUAGAACAAGUUAGAGGCAAGUGGAAUUCCAUGUGUAGCGGUAAAAUGCGUAAAUAUAUGGAGGAACACCAGUGGCGAAGGCGGCUUGCUGGGGCUUUGUUGACGCUGAGGCACGAAAGCGUGGGGAGCAAACAGGAUUAGAUACCCUGGUAGUCCACGCCGUAAACGAUGAGUACUAAGUAUCUGGGAAACUAGGCGCUAAAGUUAACGCAUUAAGUACUCCGCCUGAGUACUACGUACGCAAGUAUAAAACUCAAAGGAAUUGGCGGGACCUCGCACAAGCGGUGGAUCAUGUUGUUUAAUUCGACGAUACGCGAUAAACCUUACCAAGUCUUGACAUCCCAGGCAAUGCUAUAGAGAUAUAGCGGAGGUUAUCCUGGUGACAGGUGGUGCAUGGUUGUCGUCAGCUCGUGUCGUGAGAUGUUGGGUUAAGUCCCGCAACGAGCGCAACUCUUAUUGCUAUUUACCAUCAUUAAGUUGGGUACUAUAGUGAGACUGCCAGUGACAAACUGGAGGAAGGUAGGAAUGACGUCAAAUCAUCAUGCCCCUUAUGACUUGGGCUACAAACGUGAUACAAUGGUUGAAACAAAGGGAAGCCAAGGAGCGAUCUGGAGCUAAUCCCAUAAAAACAAUCUCAGUUCGGAUUGGAGUCUGCAACUCGACUCCAUGAAGUCGGAAUCGCUAGUAAUCGUAGAUCAGAAUGCUACGGUGAAUACGUUCUCGAGGUUUGCACACACCGCCCGUCAAACCACGAAAGUUAAUAAUACCCAAAACCGGUGGCCUAACCGUAAGGAGGGAGCCGUCUAAGGUAGGGUUAAUGAUUGGGGUUAAGUCGUAACAAGGUAUCCCUACGAGAACGUGGGGAUG